GACAGAGGCCUCGAGCGUUUAGGCGGAAUCACUGGGCUUAAAGCGUGUGUAGGCGGAUCGUUAAGUACCUUGUGAAAUCCCACGGCUCAACCGUGGAACGGCUGGGUAUACUGGCGGUCUUGGGCCAUUCAGGGGCGACUGGAACAAGCGGUGGAGCGGUGAAAUGCGUAGAUAUCGCUUGGAACGCCGAAGGUGAAAACAGGUCGCUGGGGAUGUGCCGACGCUGAGACACGAAAGCCAGGGGGAGCAAACGGGG
rnacentral:rRNA from 1 species